GGCGGUCGUGGGGCGCGUCCUGGCCGGCCGCGAUCCGGCGCGACCGGUGCGGCUGCUCGCCGGGCGCUGAGGUCGCGUCACGGGACCGCGGC
rnacentral:tRNA from 1 species